rnacentral:rRNA from 1 species
GAGUUUGAUCCUGGCUCAGAUUGAACGCUGGCGGCAGGCCUAACACAUGCAAGUCGAACGGUAACAGGAUGUGCUUGCACAUCGCUGACGAGUGGCGGACGGGUGAGUAAUGCUUGGGAACUUGCCUUUGCGAGGGGGAUAACAGUUGGAAACGACUGCUAAUACCGCAUAAUGUCUUCGGACCAAACGGGGCUUAGGCUCCGGCGCAAAGAGAGGCCCAAGUGAGAUUAGCUAGUUGGUAAGGUAACGGCUUACCAAGGCGACGAUCUCUAGCUGUUCUGAGAGGAAGAUCAGCCACACUGGGACUGAGACACGGCCCAGACUCCUACGGGAGGCAGCAGUGGGGAAUAUUGCACAAUGGGGGAAACCCUGAUGCAGCCAUGCCGCGUGUGUGAAGAAGGCCUUCGGGUUGUAAAGCACUUUCAGUUGUGAGGAAAAGUUAGUAGUUAAUACCUGCUAGCCGUGACGUUAACAACAGAAGAAGCACCGGCUAACUCCGUGCCAGCAGCCGCGGUAAUACGGAGGGUGCGAGCGUUAAUCGGAAUUACUGGGCGUAAAGCGCACGCAGGCGGUUUGUUAAGCCAGAUGUGAAAGCCCCGGGCUCAACCUGGGAUGGUCAUUUAGAACUGGCAGACUAGAGUCUUGGAGAGGGGAGUGGAAUUCCAGGUGUAGCGGUGAAAUGCGUAGAUAUCUGGAGGAACAUCAGUGGCGAAGGCGACUCCCUGGCCAAAGACUGACGCUCAUGUGCGAAAGUGUGGGUAGCGAACAGGAUUAGAUACCCUGGUAGUCCACACCGUAAACGCUGUCUACUAGCUGUGUGUGCCUUUAAGGCGUGCGUAGCGAAGCUAACGCGCUAAGUAGACCGCCUGGGGAGUACGGCCGCAAGGUUAAAACUCAAAUGAAUUGACGGGGGCCCGCACAAGCGGUGGAGCAUGUGGUUUAAUUCGAUGCAACGCGAAGAACCUUACCUACACUUGACAUGCUGAGAAGUUACUAGAGAUAGUUUCGUGCCUUCGGGAACUCAGACACAGGUGCUGCAUG